CCUACGGGAGGCAGCAGUGAGGAAUAUUGGUCAAUGGACGAGAGUCUGAACCAGCCAAGUAGCGUGAAGGAUGACUGCCCUAUGGGUUGUAAACUUCUUUUAUAAAGGAAUAAAACGAGGCACGUGUGCCUUUUUGCAUGUACUUUAUGAAUAAGGAUCGGCUAACUCCGUGCCAGCAGCCGCGGUAAUACGGAGGAUCCGAGCGUUAUCCGGAUUUAUUGGGUGUAAAGGGAGCGUAGAUGGGUUGUUAAGUCAGUUGUGAAAGUUUGCGGCUCAACCGUAAAAUUGCAAUUGAUACUGGCAGUCGUGAGUACAGUUGAGGUAAGUGGAAUUCGUGGUGUAGCGGUGAAAUGCUUAGAUAUCACGAAGAACCCCGAUUGCGAAGGCAGCUUACUAAACUGUGACUGACAUUGAUGCUCGAAAGUGUGGGUAUCAAACAGGAUUAGAUACCCCAGUAGUC
rnacentral:rRNA from 1 species